ensembl:lncRNA
AGAAACACAACCACACUGCUCUCAUUCAGCUGGAAGUAAAGGGACUCGAACACAACCACACUGCUCUCAUUCAACUGGAAGUAAAGGGACUCAAACACAAUCACACUGCUCUCAUUCAGGUGGCCAUUAGAUUCAGCAGGAGGCAAAGGGACUCAGAAACACAACCACACUGCUCUCAUUCAACUGGAAGCAAAGGGACUCAAACACAACCACACUGCUCUCAUUCGGCUGGAAGUAAAGGGACUCAAACACAACCACACUGCUCUCAUUCAACUGGAAGUAAAGGGACUCAAACACAAUCACACUGCUCUCAUUCAGGUGGCCAUUAGAUUCAGCAGGAGGCAAAGGGACUCAGAAACACAACCACACUGCUCUCAUUCAACUGGAAGUAAAGGGACUCAAACACAACCA